UCCUAAUGCCCCUAUGCCUACUUUGU
rnacentral:piRNA from 1 species